GUGAAGUUAUUCUGUACAAUCCUCCGUUUUCCCGUUUUCAUUUCAGCUUUUAGGGUUCAAACAAACAAAAAAUGGCCCGCUUGUAACAACUAACAACAGUACAACACAACUCAUUCAGAAUCUAAAUAUAUAAACCGCAAAAGAAAUAGCAUUCGUGAUAAUUCUUGUAAUGGCAGGUUUGUACGGAGCAGCAACUGAUCUUAAAUCUACCUUUCUCAAUGUCUACUCGGUCCUCAAAUCCGAGCUCCUUCAAGAUACUGCUUUCGAGUUCACUGAUGAUUCUCGACAAUGGGUCGAGCGGAUGCUGGACUAUAACGUACCUGGAGGGAAGUUGAAUCGAGGACUCUCUGUGAUAGACAGCUACAGGUUGCUGAAAGAUGGGAAGGAAUUGACAGAAGAUGAAAUUUUCCAUGCAUGUACAUUGGGAUGGUGUAUUGAAUGGCUUCAGGCAUAUUUUCUUGUUCUUGAUGAUAUUAUGGACAACUCCCACACCCGUCGUGGUCAGCCUUGCUGGUUCAGAAUGCCUAAGGUUGGUCUUAUUGCUGUUAAUGAUGGGAUCCUACUUCGUAACCACAUUCCCAGAAUUCUUAAAAGACACUUCAGACAAAGGCCAUACUAUGUGGAUCUUCUGGAUUUAUUUAAUGAGGUGGAGUUUCAGACAUCUUCAGGACAAAUGAUUGAUUUGAUUACAACAAUUGAGGGGGAAAAAGAUCUAUCGCGGUAUACAUUGCCCCUUCAUCAUUGCAUUGUUCAGUACAAAACUGCCUAUUAUUCAUUUUACCUUCCGGUUGCAUGUGCAUUGCUUAUGUUGGGUGAGAAUCUGGACAACCAUUUGGAUGUAAAGAACAUACUCAUCGAAAUGGGAACCUAUUUUCAAGUCCAGGAUGAUUAUUUGGACUGCUUUGGUGAUCCUGAAGUGAUUGGUAAGAUUGGGACAGACAUUGAAGAUUUUAAGUGCUCUUGGUUGGCUGUGAAAGCACUUGAACUCUCCAAUGAGGAACAAAAGAAACUAUUAUAUGAGAACUAUGGAAAGGCAGAUCCAGUUUGUGUUGCAAAAGUAAAGGCACUUUAUAAAGAUCUUGAUCUUCAGGGUGCAUUUGCUGAGUAUGAGAGCAAUAGCUACCAAAAGCUGGUAUCAUCAAUUGAAGCUCAUCCAAGUAAAUCAGUGCAAGCUGUGUUGAAGUCCUUUUUGGGAAAGAUUUACAAGAGGCAGAAAUAGGGAAAGUAGCAACAAGAGGGGCAUGGGAGGGCCUUGAAGUAGAGUUUUGAUUCGUUUCCCCCCCAUAGUUUAUGUUUGUUUUUCUCCUUGUGGUGUUUGUGUCCUAUUGCAGGUCCCUUUCCAGCAAGGUUUCUGCCCUUUCAACAUUUUGAAUUUCAUUAAUGUGUAGAGGGUGCUGAAGAGUGCGUGCCCUCUCAUUGGUCUCACACACUGGUUUUUCCUGUGCCAGUAGGAGAGAGUUCUUUCGCCCAAUAUAUCCUGCAACAGUAGAUGGUAAGGAUUCUCUGAAUAGACACCCUCUCACAUUUAUUUUUUAAUUAUUAUUUCUCAAUUUGAAAAAAAAUUAAUAUAAUAAUACAUGCGAGGGGGCUUAGUAUA